rnacentral:rRNA from 1 species
UACGUAGGGUCCGAGCGUUGUCCGGAAUUACUGGGCGUAAAGAGCUCGUAGGUGGUUUGUCGCGUUGUUCGUGAAAACUCACAGCUCAACUGUGGGCGUGCGGGCGAUACUGGCGUGACUAGAGUCCGGUAGGGGACCACGGAAUUCCUGGUCGUAGCGGUGAAAUGCGCAGAUAUCAGGAGGAGCACCAGUGGCGAAGGCGGUGGUCUGGGCCGGAACUGACGCUGUAGAGCGAAAGCGUGGGGAGCGAACAGG